AUCAUUGAUGAAAUAAUUUCAUUCAUUUGUACUACUAUUGAUAGACAAAUUAAUCUUUGAGUGGAUUUUUAACAUUGAAAUUAUGUCGCUAGUCCCUUUAAGUUGGAAGAUAUGGAAGAAAUUUUGUAUCAGUCUGUGUGUGUGUAACUGACAGUUAACUAUUGUAGGUCUAUGAAAGCACAAACUCCGUGUGCUAGAGCAGCCAAGUUAUGGCACAGUGGGGCUCUGCCCACUCUUCUAUCCACUCUACUCCUCAUCAGUAUACAAACCUCCUUAUUUACACUCUAGAUACAUCUCCACUCUACUCCUCAUCAGUAUACAAACAUCUUUAUUCACACUCUAGAAACAUCUUCACUCUAGUUUCAUAGAUAGUUAAUACCACUUUUCAAAAUUUUCAUCAGUUAUUUUAAUUAAAUCAAAGUUUUAAAGGGACUGUUCACGAAUUUUGAAAAGCGUCAAAUUAUGAUGCCAGUUUUAGUUGAUACGGUGUUUCUACGCCAAGUAAUACCAUUUAUCGACACAAACCAGAUGGCAAUCAACCCAACAUGUUAUUCAAAUUUGUCCCAACACCCCGUUUUGAAAGUCAUGAAAAUUCCCAUCACGGUUUUCUUAAAGAAGAAGGGUUUUAAUUUUACAUAAAUUCGGAUUUAAUCUUGCGCUUUCUUGUCAUAUCAUUGAUCUGAUCUUAUAUUUAACCUUGCCACGGUCUUAUACAUCUCUUUUAUAUGCUUGCUGCGUUAAACUCUAGAGAAUAUUAACGGUCUUUUCUCCAAAUAAUACUUUUCUCAAAAUUUCUAUUAAACAGCGUGUCCCAAAUCAUAUUGGAUUGAAAAAAGAUCUCGUAUUUCAUUAAUGACGGUGAUAAUUAAUAGUUUUUUUUCUGAAAUAUCUAAUUAUUAAUUGAAUUAGAUAGAUAGAUUGAUAUUUCCAGAAACUUGUAUUAAAAUUGUCCUUCAUGGCAUGAAUGGAAUAACGGCUCUUUAGUCUUUAUUUAAUCAAAUAUCAGUUUGCAGUUUACAUUCUUAAAUUCUUAAACAAAUCAUACAGUGUAUAAUUUUACACAGAUAGUCCAGUUUUUCUGUUUUUAACUGGUAAUCAUUUUUAAUCAGGCAUUUUUCGACUAUAUUUUGUGCCAUUUAUAAUUUAGAUGUUAAAAUGUAGGAUAUAAUUGCAUAGAAAUACGAUGUGCUGUGACGCUAUUAGUUAAAAAAUAAAAAUUUAAAUAUUGUUUA